UUUAAAAAAUCAUCAAAAUCGGAGUUAAAAUAACCGUUAAAUCGUGAUUUUUCAUUAUAACCGUCGAAGAGUUUUGUCCCAUUACUUGAUCUCUGAAUGUUUAUUUUUUUCGAUUUUUGGUGUAUAUGAUCUCGAAGUAUAAACAAACAAGUUUGACGGUUGGAUCGUUGAAACUAGUUUUUUUGUAUGCAUAUGCCAUCAAAACAAUAUAUUCACUAACAAUUAAGAGUUUAUUUAUACUUUCCUU
rnacentral:lncRNA from 1 species